rnacentral:rRNA from 1 species
AGUGAACGCUGGCGGCGUGCUUAACACAUGCAAGUCGAACGAGAACGGGUUAUAGCUUGCUAUAAUUGUCAGCUAAGUGGCGCACGGGUGAGUAAUGUAUAGGUAAUAUGCCUCUUACUAAGGGAUAACAAAUGGAAACGUUUGCUAAUACCUUAUAUUCCUUAUAAACAGAAGUUUGUAAGGGAAAGAUUUAUCGGUAAGAGAUUGGCCUGUAUUGUAUCAGUUAGUUGGUGGGGUAAUGGCCUACCAAGACAAUGACGCAUAACUGGUUUGAGAGGAUGAUCAGUCACACUGGAACUGAGACACGGUCCAGACUCCUACGGGAGGCAGCAGUGGGGAAUAUUGCACAAUGGACGAAAGUCUGAUGCAGCAACGCCGCGUGGAGGAUGACACAUUUCGGUGCGUAAACUCCUUUUAUAUGAGAAGAUAAUGACGGUAUUAUAUGAAUAAGCACCGGCUAACUACCGUG